GCGCUGCCAGCUGUGGCUUGAGUUUGUUAUCUUGGACGGAGGAGGAAGAGGGAGCAGGAAUAAGACUCUAGAACUGUUUUGUACUGUGAAUUACGGAUGCUCUUUGGAGGAAAAGAAUAUUGAUUCUAAUGUUCUUCAGAGGCUCUGGCAGGGACAAGCAGGAUACCCGACUGGAACAUACGCUAAAUGUAAUCAGACAAAUUCUAUUUUCUUACUUGAGCAAAUAUUUUAUUGAGACUGCUUAUGUAUGGCCAAGGAACCUACAACUUCAGCUACACAACUUUUUAUAUUGAGAGAACUCGAAUACUUUUUGUAGCUUUUAUUCCGCAUUUAAUUUAAAAUGACUUUAUAGCACUAACAUGCCUAGCAGAAGACUUUACUCCAGACCUUUAAGGAAAUUUUUAGUUUUUAUGGAAAAUGACAUUACAGUGGUUAAAUUUCUUGUGUCUUUGGUGCUUCUGGCCCUAACAGCACCAGUCGACACCACCACAACCACAUGGAAACAUAUUUUUGGAAGCAAAACUUUAAUUUUCUACUACAUGUGCUAUGGAGAGUGAAGAAAAUUUAAGGACUACUUGUUUUCUAUUUUUUUUUCUUAACAAAAUGGAAUCCACUGUGUUGAAGACUCUUGACAUUAUAUGAUUGUCUAACUUUUUUUUUUUUUGUAAAUUAGUAUAAAAUCGAGUGUGAUCAUGAUCAUUGAAAGGAUUUGUUUGGAAAGUUACAUUUUAUUUGUGAGUUGUUUUUUUUUUUUAAUCAGGGUAACUGUAAACUUGACUGGUUUAUUCAACUUUCCAUCAUGUUGUUUUGUUCUUAGCUGUAAUACCUGUGACCCAUGGAGAAUUCCAUCAACUAACUUGAUAAAUUCCACAUGCAUUUUAUUUCCUAGUGAAUUGUAUAAACUUUAUUUUUGUUGAAGAUUGUGUGUUAAAUCAAUGUUCUGUUCUCAUACCACUUCUUGAGAAGGAGGUUCUGAUUUGAAAUUGUAUCAUUUCCUUCAAAAUGAAGGGCAAGUGCUUAGUUAAAUAAAAGAUUGAUGACAUCUUUUAAACCA